UUCAGCCAAUCUCCCUACUGUAGAGGUAAAAUGGAAACAGUUAUUAUUAAGAAUGGCACAACUCCACCUCAUUCACUACUCCACUAGUCUAGAGGAAGAUGAGAAGCUAUUAGCACAGACAAAUUCCAUGAGUUCGAGAGAAAAGUUUUCACUAUACACACGACAGGGACAGAAGAAAUUAUUGUAUCUACUUCUAGAUGCUUGUAAAUAGUUACCAUAAAUAAACAUGAAAUAUUUUUAA
rnacentral:sRNA from 1 species